rnacentral:rRNA from 1 species
UACGGAGGGGACUAGCGUUGUUCGGAAUUACUGGGCGUAAAGCGCACGUAGGCGGACCUGCAAGUCGGGGGGUGAAAGCCCGAGGCUCAACCUCGGAACUGCCUUCGAUACUGCGGGUCUCGAGUCCGGGAGAGGUGAGUGGAAUUCCGUGGUGUAGCGGUGAAAUGCGCAGAUAUCAGGAAGAACACCAAUGGCGAAAGCAGCUCUCUGGGACGGUACUGACGCUGAGACGCGAAAGCGUGGGGAGCGAACAGG